GUGACCAGAGGAGCAUGGCUGAUGGGCUUUGGUGAUGGAGGAAAGUGACACAAUCCAUGGAGUGCAGGUGGCCUCUAGAAACUGGUAAUGGAAAGGAGGUGGAUUUUCACAUAGAUCUUCCAGGAAGAACGCAGCUGUGCUAACACCUUGAUUGUUGACAGGAAGACCCAUAUCAGAUUUCUGACUUCCAGAACUGCAAUAUAAUUCUCUUGUGAUGUUCAAAGCCAGUAAUGUUGUAAUAAUGUGUUACAUCAGCAAUGGAAAGUAAUAAACUCUUCUUGUCACCAACAUGCCAGCAGUGCUGCUUCUCUCCAGCAGCAGCGGCUGUCCUUGAUGGAAGAAACACUCAUGACAAUCUGUAAUAGAUAUUUAAGAGAUGUCUGUGCAAUCUAAUUUAAAAAGCCAUUGGUGUAACUGACUGAGGUUCUGCAAUCCAGGGCUACCCAAACUGUGUUUGACAGGACAGAAAAUGUC